rnacentral:rRNA from 1 species
UGGGGAAUAUUGGACAAUGGGCGCAAGCCUGAUCCAGCCAUGCCGCGUGAGUGAUGAAGGCCCUAGGGUUGUAAAGCUCUUUCACCGGUGAAGAUAAUGACGGUAACCGGAGAAGAAGCCCCGGCUAACUUCGUGCCAGCAGCCGCGGUAAUACGAAGGGGGCUAGCGUUGUUCGGAUUUACUGGGCGUAAAGCGCACGUAGGCGGACUAUUAAGUCAGGGGUGAAAUCCCGGGGCUCAACCCCGGAACUGCCUUUGAUACUGGUAGUCUUGAGUUCGAGAGAGGUGAGUGGAACUCCGAGUGUAGAGGUGAAAUUCGUAGAUAUUCGGAGGAACACCAGUGGCGAAGGCGGCUCACUGGCUCGAUACUGACGCUGAGGUGCGAAAGCGUGGGGAGCAAACAGG